GAAUUCCCCCUUAGAGUUUGAUCCUGGCUCAGGAUGAAUGCUGGCGGCGUGCUUAACACAUGCAAGUCGAGCGAUGAAGCUUCUUCGGAAGUGGAUUAGCGGCGGACGGGUGAGUAACACGUGGGUAACCUGCCUUGUAGAGAGGAAUAGCCAUUCGAAAGGAUGAUUAAUACCUCAUAAUAUUGUAGCUUCGCAUGGAGCAACAAUCAAAGGAGCAAUCCGCUACAAGAUGGACCCGCGGCGCAUUAGCUAGUUGGGGAGGUAACGGCUCACCAAGGCGACGAUGCGUAGCCGACCUGAGAGGGUGAUCGGCCACAUUGGGACUGAGACACCGCCCACACUCCUACGGGAGGCAGCAGUGGGGAAUAUUGCACGAUGGGGGAAACCCUGAUGCACCACCGCCGCGUGAGUGAUGACGGUCUUCGGAUUGUAAAGCUCUGUCUUCAGGGACGAUAAUGACGGUACCUGAGGAGGAAGCCACGGCUAACUACGUGCCACCAGCCGCGGUAAUACGUAGGUGGCAAGCGUUGUCCGGAUUUACUGGGCGUAAAGGGAGCGUAAGCGGACUUUUAAGUGGGAUGUGAAAUACCCGGGCUUAACCUGGGUGCUGCCUUCCCAACUGGGAGUUCUAGAGUGCAGGAGGGGAAAGUGGAAUUCCUAGUGUAGCGGUGAAAUGCGUAGAGAUUAAGAAGAACACCCGGUGGCGAAGGCCACUUUUCUGGACUGUAACCUGACGCUUGAAGCUCCAAAGCCGUGGGGAUCAAACAGGAUUAGAUACCCUGGUAGUCCACGCAGUAAACGAUGAUGACUUGUUGUCGGCGAUACAAUGUCGGUGACAAAGCGAAAGCGAUAAGUCAUCCACCUGGGGAGUACGAUCGCAAGGUUGAAACUCAAAGGAAUUGACGGGGGCCCGCACAAGCGGAGGAGCAUGUGGUUUAAUUCGAUGUAACGCGAAGAACCUUACCAAGGCUUGACAUUGAGUGCAAAACUGUGAAAGCAGUUCCUUUCUUCGGAAACACGAAAACAGGUGGUGCAUGGCUGUCGUCAGCUCGUGUCGUGAGAUGUUGGGUUAAGUCCCGCAACGAGCGCAACCCCUAUCCUAUGUUACCAGCGGGUAAAGCCGGGGACUCAUUGGAGACUGCCAGGGAUAACCUGGAGGAAGGCGGGGAUGACGUCAAGUCAUCAUGCCCCUUAUGUCUUGGGCUACACACGUACUACAAUGGCCGGCAACAGAGGGAAGCGAAGCCGCGAGGCAGAGCGGAUCCCAGAAACCCGGUCUCAGUUCGGAUCGCAGGCUGCAACCCGCCUGCGUGAAGUCGGAAUCGCUAGUAAUCGCAGGUCAGCAUACUGCGGUGAAUACGUUCCCGGGCCUUGUACUCACAAGCCGUCA
rnacentral:rRNA from 1 species